AUGAGUACUAGUAGCGCUUUGUAAAUGCCUGAUCUCAUCUGAUCUUGUAAACUAAGCAGGGCUGAGCCUGAUUAGCGCUGAGUGGGAGACUGCUGGGAAUGUCAGUGGGGUACUGUAU
rnacentral:rRNA from 1 species